rnacentral:sRNA from 1 species
AUUGCCUAAACACAACUAAUCCAUCUCUAACUCUUAUUAUUAGUCAAAUGCAUUGGAUUGUGACAUAUUUUGACCAUAGAAACCCUAACAAAGCUAUUUACUGCUUCUAAGCAAAUUUUUCUUGGUUUUAGCCUCUUUUGGGAGAAAAUGGGUUUAAGUGUUGUCUAAACACACCUAAUCCAUCUCUAACUCUUAUUAUUAGUCAAAGGCUUUGGAUUGUGACAUAUUUUGACCAUAGAAACCCUAACAAACCUAUUUACUGUUUCUAAGU